CCGUCCUCAACGGGGUGCUAAUAAACAUGUCUUUCUCCUUUGCAGAAAGGUAUGGGCUGAGAACAUACCCGUCGAACCUGAUCCGGAUAACGCCGGCGAAGGGAUUUGAGACCGCUUCUCAA
rnacentral:ncRNA from 2 species